rnacentral:lncRNA from 1 species
CGGAAGUAUAAAACACUGGCCUCCCGGAGCUAAGCUAAACUGUUCACUCACUGCGAUGAUGAGCACACCCACUGACGUGAGCGGCUUGCUCUGUGACUGUGUUAUUAUGGGCCUGGAGGAGAACCCCGACAAGGAAAAGCAGCAGAAUCCAAAUCCCCCAGAGACCUCUUGAAUGCAUUUACUCUACACACUGUGGCACUGGAAACCUCUUGAGUACCAUUCAGGAGUUCAGGCAUGCUCCUCUGACUGUGUUCCUUCUGAAAUAAAGUUGGCAAGAGGCUGGGAACAUCGUGGUACCCAUAGCCAGUGUCAUUUCUUCAAACAGGUAUGUUCAGCAGCUGCCUACUUAGGAAGACAAGAGGGCACUGCAAGAUCCAACCAGAAUAAGAGGAUGUCCUCCACAGCCCCCUCUCCACCUUAUCAGCUACAAUGCAAUCUAUUGAAGCCGUUGUUUUCUGGGUCAGAAAAAAAAAUUAAUGGUAUAUUUUCUCCAAAUGUCACUAUCAUACUGUGAAUAGGCAAAACCUAUUAUCCCCAACCUUUUCCUUUAGCAUAUUAAUAAUGGCUCAUAUGUUAAACAUCUUACUAAAAAUCAUAGAUACAUAUGGCUGUAUCUCCUUGACUUAGUAGUGUGUAGUGGUAGCUCAGCAAACCAAAUAUAAAUAAUAUUGCCAUCAUUAAUCACAAAUUGGUUCAUUAUCAUCAUCUAUGUAAACAGAGUGACCCUGUUGAUGAAGAAGUGAAGUAUAGAAUUCCAUCUCUUCAAAGAGGGAUCAAAUGUGGCUAAAAGAUAUUCGAUAAGACCUCUAGGUGGAUGACUUUGGAAGCAAGAAGGCAGCACACAACACUGAUGGCAAUCCUAAAAGCCAGAGAGGUUCAUUGCAGGAUGUGUGGAAAAGCCAAGGAAAACGAGGGGCUCCAAAGAAGAGCAAUCCCUUGCAGGUAGGGAGAUACAAAGUUAAUGGGAAAGAGGACAGUAUGGAAAAGCAAGGAGGUCCCACGAGUGACCUAUUUUCCCAAAUUUCCCUGUAUUGUGUCUCCAGAUAUCAAAUGAUGUCAAGAAUGCACGGUGUCCAUAAAGAAAAGAUAAUAUCCACAGAUUCUAAGUGGUGAGCGAUUGUGAGUCAAUUAAGUGAGAUAGAGGCCGAAAGAUUAUAUACACUACAAUCAACUUCAACAGGAACAAUUAUUUAUCCUAAACUUCACACUACUAAAAAAAAAUCUUAUGCCAGGGCACAUUGCUACAUAACUAAAAUACUCAAUCGAUGACUUGUAUCAUAUCUGAAAAGUGGAAUCACACAUCAUGGGAGAGCAAACAAAUUUUUGAGAUCUUGGAAACAAUUUCAUUCCUCUGGUUUAAAAUUUCUUUGUUGGCUAAAAUGACAUAAUGGGGCAUCCCUAUACUUCUACACUUUAUAUAAUUUUAUUAGAUUUGUAUGACACUACCGUAAUCAGCUCUGGCUACAUUUAUAAUAAUUCAUUUCUGGGCAGCCCGGGUGGCCCAGUGGUAUAGC